UCUAAAUCUAUUGAUCUGGAAUCUUUACAUAGGUUGAUGAAGUUGAAGUCGUGAUUGACCCAAAAGAUAUUGAACUGACAACAACACAUUCUGGGGGUGCUGGAGGCCAGAAUGUUAAUAAGGUUGAAACAACCAUUGAUCUCUUCCAUAAACCAACGGUAUUCCGCAUCUUUUCAAUUGCUCCGAGCAAAACUGUAAGCAUCAAUAUUGCCAUGCAAUUUUAUGAGUCUGAUUUCAGAAUUGAGUCAUGUUUAUGUAUAUUUCAACUUGUUAAUAUUGGUAAUAUUUCUAUUCUAUAAUUUUAAGCCUACCCUAGAAAAAAGGUUCCAAGAAAGAUUAAGGGCUUCUUUAUUGCAAUGGUGCUAUACCAGCUAUGGAGAGGUAUUAUUUACUUAUUUAUUACUUAAUUUAAUUUAAUUUGUAGAAGCACCCUAGAAUAUUAUAAGGCAGAAUUUAUAGGUAGUGGUAGACAACCAAGGAGAUUAUAGAAACAUGUUAAGUUCAAGGACUAUUUUUUAUUUGGAUUUCUUAUACCUGGAUGUGUCUAUUUCUAUACUAGCCAAUCUGGGAUUGGCAUUACAGAUUGGUCCUUAGUUUCUAUGCAAAUUUACUAGCAUUUGUUGACCUUAAUUUUAUACUUUUCUUGCCUUUUAUCACUCAACACUUAUUCUUGCUCACUACUUUUUAUUUUAUAUUUUUCCAAAGGUUUUAAGUUCCUGGAUGCACUUUUGUGCCGUGCGUUUAUUUGCUAAGAGCAUUCUGAGAUAUGGUCCGCCACCAUCUUUCUUGACUUGCUGUCUGAGUUGGCUAGAAGAGAGACAAGAGCAAUGAUCAAGCUAGACCCAGAUAUUGAUGUCUACAUGAAGGCUAUUAUUACUUGCAAAAAGAUUGGGCCAAAGAAACCUGUCGUGUGGUGAUGGUGAGCCAGUGAUGCGCGGUCAUAAUUUAAGCGUUUAAAUAAGAGAGAGAGAACCCAAGGGAAAACCAAGUGACGUGCGGGCACUUGCCACUUCAAUAGGAUUUCUAUUAGUUUUAUUAGUUGUUGUCUCAUCGUGAUUUUGUUUUUAUACUAGCUUUCUGAUUAUGACAAAGGUUCUAUUUUGCGUGUUCGUGGAAAGAACAUUUUGUAGAAUGAAUAUGGUGUAAAUUUUUGUAGUCAAAAUGGUGAAUUAAAAUUCCAUGCACAUUUUGCA